GACGAACGCUGGCGGCGUGCCUAACACAUGCAAGUCGAGCGGAGUUGACAAGAGGAAGUUUUCGGAUGGAAUCUUGCCAGCUUAGCGGCGGACGGGUGAGUAACGCGUGAGCGACCAACCUUGCACAGGGGGAUAACGGACCGAAAGGUUCACUAAUACCGCAUGAGACCACGGUGUCGCAUGACACAGGGGUCAAAGGAGGAAUCCGGUGCAAGACAGGCUCGCGUCCGAUUAGGUAGUUGGAGGGGUAACGGCCCACCAAGCCUAUGAUCGGUAGCCGACCUGAGAGGGUGAUCGGCCACAUUGGAACUGAGAUACGGUCCAAACUCCUACGGGAGGCAGCAGUGGGGAAUAUUGGGCAAUGGGGGAAACCCUGACCCAGCAACGCCGCGUGAAGGAAGAAGGUUUUCGGAUUGUAAACUUCUGUCCUUGGUGAAGAGAAGAAGACGGUAGCCAAGGAGGAAGCCCCGGCUAACUACGUGCCAGCAGCCGCGGUAA
rnacentral:rRNA from 1 species